AGCAGCCGCGGUAAUUCCAGCUCCAAUAGCGUAUAUUAAAGUUGUUGCAGUUAAAAAGCUCGUAGUUGAAUUUCGGGAUCAAUAUGUCGGUCGUGCCUUGGUACGUACUGGUAUCAUUGGUCUCUCCUUUCUGACGAACCAUGAUGUCAUUAAUUUGGUGUUAUGGGAAGUUAGGACUGUUACUUUGAAAAAAUUAGAGUGUUUAAAGCAGGCUUUAGCUUGAAUACAUUAGCAUGGAAUAAUGAAAUAGGACGUUCGAACCUAUUUUGUUGGUUUCUAGGAUCAACGUAAUGAUUAAUAGGGAUAGUUGGGGGCAUUAGUAUUCAAUUGUCAGAGGUGAAAUUCUUGGAUUUAUUGAAGACUAACUACUGCGAAAGCAUUUGCCAAGGAUGUUUUCAUUAAUCAAGAACGAAAGUUAGGGGAUCGAAGACGAUCAGAUACCGUCGUAGUCUUAACCAUAAACUAUGCCGACUAGGGAUCGGAUGAUGUUAAUUUUUUAAUGACUCA
rnacentral:rRNA from 1 species